GACAUACAAGUAGUAGGAAAGGAAACUGGACCGACCCUUCGGGGAGCUUGUACAGGUGCUGCAUGGCUGUCGUCAGCUCGUGUCGUGAGAUGUUCGGUUAAGUCCGCUAACGAGCGCAACCCUCGCUGUGUGUUACAAGUGUCACACGGGAACUGCCGGGUCAUAAACCGGAGGAAGGUGGGAUGACGUCAAGUCAGCAUGGCCUUUAUAUCCUGGGCUACACACACGCUACAAUGGGAAGGGACAAUAGGUUGCGAAGCCGCGAGGCGGAGCCAAUCCAGCAAAACUUCCCUCAGUUCAGAUUGCAGGCUGCAACCCGCCUGCAUGAAGUUGGAGUUGCUAGUAAACGCAGGUCAGCCAUACUGCGUUCGAAUACGUUCCCGGGCCUU
rnacentral:rRNA from 1 species